rnacentral:rRNA from 1 species
AUUGAACGCUGGCGGCAUGCCUUACACAUGCAAGUCGAACGGUAGGGGGAGCAAUCCCCCGAGAGUGGCGAACGGGUGAGUAAUACAUCGGAACGUGCCCAGUCGUGGGGGAUAACGUAGCGAAAGCUACGCUAAUACCGCAUACGACCCGAGGGUGAAAGCGGGGGACUCGCAAGAGCCUCGCGCGAUUGGAGCGGCCGAUGGCAGAUUAGGUAGUUGGUGGGGUAAAGGCCCACCAAGCCUGCGAUCUGUAGCUGGUCUGAGAGGACGACCAGCCACACUGGGACUGAGACACGGCCCAGACUCCUACGGGAGGCAGCAGUGGGGAAUUUUGGACAAUGGGCGAAAGCCUGAUCCAGCCAUACCGCGUGCGGGAAGAAGGCCUUCGGGUUGUAAACCGCUUUUGUCAGGGAAGAAAUACUUCGGGCUAAUACCCUGGGGUGAUGACGGUACCUGAAGAAUAAGCACCGGCUAACUACGUG